rnacentral:tRNA from 1 species
GGAUGGAUGGCCGAGUGGUUUAAGGCGCACGCCUGGAAAGCGUGUAUACGCUAAAACGUAUCGGGGGUUCGAAUCCCCCUCCAUCCGCCA